rnacentral:lncRNA from 1 species
UUUCUUCUUUUUCCUCCUCUCAUUUUUCCUCUGCCUCCCACCUCCCACCUCUGCCCCAUCGGGAAAUUUGAGCUUCUUCGCACUUUCACCAUCUCCCUUCUCCAAGGUAUAGCUCUUUCUCAUCUCUUCUUCUUCUCUCUCGCACGGAACUCUAGCUUCUCCAAGGUUGCGGCAGGAUCCAAGGAACCCUAACUUUAUUUUUUUGUAGCGGCCAGCAUCUCCACAAGCUUUGGAUUGUAGCGGCCACCACCAUCUUUACCUCGUCCAGCUAUAGAUUUCUUCAUAGCAAGGUUAGUUUUAAUUUUUUGAAAAUUAUUUUAUGGCUUAAUUGCUAGAAAAAUUAGUUGAAUUGUUAAAAAUUAGUUGGUAAAUUAUUAAAUUAUUCUUGUAGAUUAAUCAAUUAUUUUUUGCAUAAUUUUUAUUGUAGAUACCAAUUAUUUGAAUUUCUUUUAUUUAUUAUAUUAAAAAAUUAUGCUAUUUAAAUUAAAUGCCUUAAUUUUUAUACGAUAUUUGAAUUAUUUAAUUUUUAUAUGUUGAAAUAGUUUAAAUAUUUGUUAAUUAUGACUGUUUCUUUUGUUUGAUAACAAUGAAGCCCGUGAGUAAACUUAUGAAAUAUGAUGUAGCUAGUAUAAUUUUAACAAUAGUGAAGUAAACAUAUGAAAUGAUUCUAAAAUAAAGUUGAUUAAAUAUAAGAAAUUCAUUAGUUUGAUAUUGAAUUAAGUUUAAGGUUGCGUUUUAGUUUACUAAUGAUUUUGGAUUGCAUCGAAUUUGGAUAAAUGCAAAAACCUUUGUAGAUUAUUAAAUAAGAUGGAUAAAUAUCAUAUUAUAAUAAAAUAUAUAAUUAAACUAUUUAGAUAAGUAACCUUUAAAGAAUAUAAUAAAAUUUAUUAGUUAGUGUAAAUAACAUAAAUAUAUUUCAACUUCUAAUUCUCUUCUAUGUGUAGAUGAAAUUUGAGCAUCGUAGAUGGAUGUAUGAUAGGAAUCAUUCAAAUAGUACGGGGUUGCGGGAUGAGUUUAUAGAAGGGGUUGCUAGCUUUAUUGCUAAGGCAAAGAAACUUGAUGAUUUUCUUAUCGAAAGGACGAUUAUGUACCCUUGUAUGAAAUGCAAGUGUCUUAAAUUAUUGGGGCCCGAUAUUGUUAUUGUUCAUCUAUAUAAGAAGGGGUUUAUGGAAAAUUAUUAUGUGUGAAUUGUUCAUGGGGAGAGUCAUGCUAGUGUAGAUGAAGUGCUUUUUCAGAACUCUUUUGGUAGUGAAUAAGGUAGUCCCAUAGCGGAGAAUAUUAAUGUUGAAAUUCAAGAUUUAAUGAAAUGAUCAAGGAUACCUUUGAGAUGUUCCCUGGGACUCAAUCCAAACCAAAUGAUGAGGCUGAGAGCUUCUUCAAACAGUUAAAGGAAGCUAGUUGUCUGCUUUAUGAAGGCGUAGUGUAUUCCAAGUUGUCUGUUGCAGUUAUAUAACUAAGUAUUAAAUCAGAUAAUUCUAUUUCUCAAGCGGGCAUGGAUUCUAUCAUUGGCCUUAUGAAUGAACUUAAUCCGACCAUGAUUGACUUGCCCAAAGAUUUUUACAUGGCAAAGAAAUUAGUUUCCAAGUUGGGUCUUUCAUCGGAAAGGAUUGAUUGUUGUGAGAAAUGUUGCAUGUUAUUCUAUAAAGAUGAUGCAGCUUUAGAAAAUUAUAAAUUUUGUAACCAGCCACGUUACAAAGAAGUCACAAAUACUAAACAAAAGAAGGUUCCAGUGAAGGCGAUGCACUACUUACGCAUUAUACCAAGGUUAAAGAGGUUGUAUGCAUCAAUGAAUUCUGCUCUUCAUAUGAGAUAGCAUUAUGAACAUAGAAGGCCAGAUGGUGUGCUAUGUCAUCCGUCAGAUGGAGAAGCAUGAAAAUAUUUUGAUAUGGUGCUCCCAGUCUAUGCCGUUGAACCGAGAAAUACUAGCAUGGGUCGAACCGCGUGCAUCAGAGACAUAUGUAAGAUUCUAAAUUCAAUACUACCUUUAUUCUUGGUUAAAAUUAAUUUGUUUAUAUAAUGUUUGUCAACAACAUUUCAGGAAGGAUAUCAAAGAAGAAUUGAGUAGUGGCAACAAACUCAACUCGAUUCUCAACCGACGCCCGUAUGUAUGACUUCAAUAUAGAUACAGGCAGCCGGUGGAGUAAAUAAAAGAAUAAAAUAUUUUAGUAAUUUUUUCAAUAUGACUUCAUUUUAAUAUUUUUUGCAGAAGUUGUAUGUUUCAUCUCUUGCUCAUUUAAAUAUAUUAUUUUUAAUUUCUCAUGAAAAUAAAUAAAGAUAGAGUCUACGGACUUGGAGUGCAG